rnacentral:sRNA from 1 species
GCCGGGCGCGGUGGCGCACGCCUGUAGUCCCAGCUACUCGGGAGGCUGAGACAGGAGGAUUGCUUGAGUCCAGGAGUUCUGGGCUGUAGUGCGCUAUGCCGAUCGGGUGUCCGCACUAAGUUCGGCAUCAAUAUGGUGACCUCCCGCGAGCGGGGGACCACCAGGUUGCCUAAGGAGGGGCAGAUGCGAGCCACAGCCUGAUUCCACACUCUUAAUCUAGAAGAUAAAUACAGACUGUAUGAGCCACACUCUUAAUCUAGAAGAUAAAUACAGACUGUAU